UACGAGGGGGGCGAGCGUUGUUCGGAAUUAUUGGGCGUAAAGGGUGCGUAGGCGGUUUGGUAAGUCUUAUGUGAAAUCUACAGGCUCAACUUGUAGUCUGCAUGAGAAACUGCCGGGCUUGAGUAUGGGAGAGGUGAGUGGAAUUCCUGGUGUAGCGGUGAAAUGCGUAGAUAUCAGGAGGAACACCAGUGGCGAAGGCGAUCACCUGGGGUUGUUCUGACGCUGAGGAGCGAAAGCUAGGGGAGCAAACGGG
rnacentral:rRNA from 1 species